AUUGAACGCUGGCGGCAUGCCUUACACAUGCAAGUCGAACGGCAGCACGGGAGCAAUCCUGGUGGCGAGUGGCGAACGGGUGAGUAAUGUAUCGGAACGUACCUUUCAGUGGGGGAUAACGUAGCGAAAGUUACGCUAAUACCGCAUAUUCUGUGAGCAGGAAAGCAGGGGAUCGCAAGACCUUGCGCUGAUUGAGCGGCCGAUAUCAGAUUAGCUAGUUGGUGAGGUAAAGGCUCACCAAGGCGACGAUCUGUAGCGGGUCUGAGAGGAUGAUCCGCCACACUGGAACUGAGACACGGUCCAGACUCCUACGGGAGGCAGCAGUGGGGAAUUUUGGACAAUGGGGGCAACCCUGAUCCAGCCAUGCCGCGUGAGUGAAGAAGGCCUUCGGGUUGUAAAGCUCUUUCAGCCGGGAAGAAAUCACAUGGGUUAAUACCCUGUGUGGAUGACGGUACCGGAAUAAGAAGCACCGGCUAACUACGUGCCAGCAGCCGCGGUAAUACGUAGGGUGCGAGCGUUAAUCGGAAUUACUGGGCGUAAAGCGUGCGCAGGCGGUUUGUUAAGAUAGGCGUGAAAUCCCCGGGCUCAACCUGGGAACUGCGUUUAUGACUGGCAGGCUAGAGUAUGGCAGAGGGGGGUGGAAUUCCACGUGUAGCAGUGAAAUGCGUAGAGAUGUGGAGGAACACCGAUGGCGAAGGCAGCCCCCUGGGCCAAUACUGACGCUCAUGCACGAAAGCGUGGGUAGCAAACAGGAUUAGAUACCCUGGUAGUCCACGCCCUAAACGAUGUCAACUAGGUGUUGGGUGGGUAAAACCAUUUAGUACCGGAGCUAACGCGUGAAGUGACC
rnacentral:rRNA from 1 species